GCCAGUGUGGUAUAGUGGUUUGAGUGCUGGACUCCAACUCUGGAGAACAGGGUUGAAAUUCCUGCUCAGCCA